UACGGAGGGUGCAAGCGUUAAUCGGAAUUACUGGGCGUAAAGGGUGCGUAGGCGGUUGUUUAAGUCUGUUGUGAAAUCCCCGGGCUCAACCUGGGAAUGGCAAUGGAUACUGGGCAGCUAGAGUGUGUCAGAGGAUGGUGGAAUUCCCGGUGUAGCGGUGAAAUGCGUAGAGAUCGGGAGGAACAUCAGUGGCGAAGGCGACUUCCUGGACCAAUACUGACGCUCAGGUGCGAAAGCGUGGGGAGCAAACAGG
rnacentral:rRNA from 1 species